AUGCUUGCUUCGGCAGCACAUAUACUAGAACUGGACCGAUACAGAGAAGAUCAGCAGGGCCCCUGCGCUAGGAUGGCACACAAAUUCGUGACACAUUCCUUAUUUUU